rnacentral:sRNA from 1 species
AGAGAGAGAGAGAGAGAGAGAGAAUAUCAUAUAGUACAUGAUGAGUUUGAGAAACUAAAAAAAACUAAGUUAACAUCAGGAAUGUUCCAAAUUUUCUCAUUUGUUUUCCAAAGGAAAGGGUGCCAUAGAUAUGUGAUAUUUUGAAUAUGAGUGAAUGUAAUGUUAUUACCAGAGUUUCUCCCAUUUAUGUUUUGGGUAUUCUCAAAUGCCUCUGAUUCCACAGACUGCAUCAAUUUUGCUUGUUACACAUUGUUUUUUUUACAUUUACAUUGUCUUUAAUAGGUACAUGUAGGCUUUAUUACAGCAUGAGAUAUGUAGAAAGAAAGAAAAGUUAUUUGUGAAUUUAAAUGUGAGUAUUUUAAAAUAUCUGUAUGACUGUGAAUAAAGGAGAAUUCAAAAUU